rnacentral:rRNA from 1 species
CCGGCAGUGGCGGACGGGUGAGUAACGCGUAGGAAUCUAUCCUUGGGUGGGGGGACAACCGUGGGAAACUACGGCUAAUACCGCAUGACGACUGAGUUCUAAAGGCGCAAGUCGCCUGAGGAGGAGCCUGCGUACGAUUAGCUAGUUGGUGGGGUAAAGGCCUACCAAGGCUACGAUCGUUAGCUGGUCUGAGAGGAUGAUCAGCCACACCGGGACUGAGACACGGCCCAG